AUUGAACGCUGGCGGCAGGCCUAACACAUGCAAGUCGAGCGGGGUUUUCGGACCUAGCGGCGGACGGGUGAGUAAUGCGUAGGAAGCUACCCGAUAGAGGGGGAUACCAGUUGGAAACGACUGUUAAUACCGCAUAAUGUCUACGGACCAAAGUGUGGGACCUUCGGGCCACAUGCUAUCGGAUGCGCCUACGUGGGAUUAGCUAGUUGGUGAGGUAAUGGCUCACCAAGGCGACGAUCCCUAGCUGGUUUGAGAGGAUGAUCAGCCACACUGGAACUGAGACACGGUCCAGACUCCUACGGGAGGCAGCAGUGGGGAAUAUUGGACAAUGGGCGCAAGCCUGAUCCAGCCAUGCCGCGUGUGUGAAGAAGGCCUUCGGGUUGUAAAGCACUUUCAGCGAGGAGGAAGGGUGGUGUGUUAAUAGCACAUCAUUUUGACGUUACUCGCAGAAGAAGCACCGGCUAACUCUGUGCCAGCCGCCGCCGUAAUAC
rnacentral:rRNA from 1 species